AACCAGGAGCUCAGCACCGACUGCUGGUGAGGGACGGUGGCUCAGAAGGAUCAAACAGCGUAACUGCAGUUCACCACUUACCAAUAGGGGCCGCCAAAACUCCAUUUUAGAAUAUUAAAGAGUCUAAUUUUAUGAAAUUCACUUAAAACAAAGGGAUUUUCUUACUCUGUUACACAAAGUAGUUGGAAAGUUUGCUUACCUUCCUUCAUUUCUUCAUACUUUUCUACUCCAAAUUAACAGCUGCUGGUCACAAAAACACAUGGAACUUCCUGGAUGAAUGAGGGAGGGAUGGUACUACACUCUCAGAGGAGCAGGAAGAACUGUAUACAGUUAAUUACCCAACGGCAGAGAGAAAAACGAGGAGGAAAAGCAGGCCACCGCAUUUUGGCAGUAUUCUCAACAGUCUCAACAGCCCAGCUGGUAUUAAAGAAUGUCCACCACAGUCAUCCCCACCAAUAACAUGGAAAACAGCUUCAUCAUCCUGACCCAAGUGAUACCAGCACAAUCAGCUCCAUCUGGAACAGGACAGAACGGACCAGAGCCUGGAGCAGGAUUCUUCACCAGGCCAUUAUCCACAACCACAGGACAUGACCAGGACCGCUUCAGCCCAGGCCAAUCCAGGAGUUUCCUCAAGAGAGAGACAAAAGUCCUCGGGACGGUGCAAAUUAUGAUGGGCAUAAUGUCAUUUUUGUUUAGUAUUGUCCUACUCUAUGAAACCUACAUGUUGCUGUUCACACGUAGCUUACACGGAUUCUGGGGAUCCGCAAUCGUAAGUCUUGUCCAGUUUUCAUUUAUUUAUAUGUUUAUGUUAAUUACAGUAGUGUAAAAGUACUGACUGUCUUUUUACCCCCUCUUGCAUUUCUCUAGUACAUCUUUGCUGGAAUUCUGUCUGUGGUUGCAGAGAAUAAAUAUCAUCCUCAGUUGGUAGGUACA
rnacentral:lncRNA from 1 species